GACAGAGGGUGCAAACGUUGUUCGGAAUUACUGGGCGUAAAGCGCGUGUAGGCGGCCCUGCAAGUCGGGUGUGAAAUCCCACGGCUCAACCGUGGAAGUGCAUUCGAAACUGCAGGGCUAGAGUCCUGGAGAGGAAGGUGGAAUGCUUGGUGUAGAGGUGAAAUUCGUAGAUAUCAAGCGGAACACCGGUGGCGAAGGCGGCGUCCUGGACCAACACUGACACUGAUGAGCGAAAGCCAGGGGAGCAAACGGG
rnacentral:rRNA from 1 species